UAUUGGGCGUAAAGAGCUCGUAGGCGGCUUGUCGCGUCUGCUGUGAAAGCCCGGGGCUUAACCCCGGGUGUGCAGUGGGUACGGGCAGGCUAGAGUGCAGUAGGGGAGACUGGAAUUCCUGGUGUAGCGGUGAAAUGCGCAGAUAUCAGGAGGAACACCGAUGGCGAAGGCAGGUCUCUGGGCUGUUACUGACGCUGAGGAGCGAAAGCAUGGGGAGCGAACAGGAUUAGAUACCCUGGUAGUCCAUGCCGUAAACGUUGGGCACUAGGUGUGGGGGACAUUCCACGUUUUCCGCGCCGUAGCUAACGCAUUAAGUGCCCCGCCUGGGGAGUACGGCCGCAAGGCUAAAACUCAAAGGAAUUGACGGGGGCCCGCACAAGCGGCGGAGCAUGCGGAUUAAUUCGAUGCAACGCGAAGAACCUUACCAAGGCUUGACAUACACCGGAUCGCAGCAGAGAUGUUGUUUCCCCUUUGGGGCUGGUGUACAGGUGGUGCAUGGUUGUCGUCAGCUCGUGUCGUGAGAUGUUGGGUUAAGUCCCGCAACGAGCGCAACCCUCGUUCUAUGUUGCCAGCACGUGAUGGUGGGGACUCAUAGGAGACUGCCGGGGUCAACUCGGAGGAAGGUGGGGAUGACGUCAAAUCAUCAUGCCCCUUAUGUCUUGGGCUUCACGCAUGCUACAAUGGCCGGUACAAUGGGUUGCGAUACUGUGAGGUGGAGCUAAUCCCAAAAAGCCGGUCUCAGUUCGGAUUGGGGUCUGCAACUCGACCCCAUGAAGUCGGAGUCGCUAGUAAUCGCAGAUCAGCAAC
rnacentral:rRNA from 2 species